rnacentral:tRNA from 1 species
GCCCCCGUAGCUCAAUGGAUAGAGCGCCGCACUUCGAAUGCGUAGGUUGGGAGUUCGAGUCUCUCCGGGGGCG